rnacentral:rRNA from 1 species
AUGUCCGAACCCAGCCCUCAAGGUCAGUGGGUGGCUUCCUCUGUCACAGAGGAGGAUAUCGCGAAGCUCCGGGCGCCAAGAUACCUGACCGCGGAAAUCCCCCACAGGCUCCCUGCUCAAGGGCAGGUUAUUCCUACUCCCAGAUCCAGCGAGAGGGUUGUAUUCAUCUCCCACUUCCUCCAAGGGCUAGGGUUCGCUCUCCACCCCUUUGUUCGAGGGCUCAUGUUCUAUUACGGGCUAGAUUUUCAUGAUCAAACUCCGGACUCCUUUCUUCACGUUUCGGCGUUCAUUAUCCCGUGCGAGGCUUUCCUCCGUAUUCCCCCACACUUUGGCUUGUGGCUCAAGACCUUUAAUGUGAGGCCGAAGGUAGUUGAUGGGAAACAAGCGGAGUGCGGUGGUGCUACAAUGAGAAAACUCAUAAACGCUCCUUGGCUAAAAGGAUCCUUCAUAGAAUCUUCCGACUUAUGGCAGCAGGAGUGGUUUUACAUCACUGAACCCCGUGGUACCAAGUGGGCAGCUACACCUGCGUUCCGAUCUGGCCCUCCAAUUCAGCUUGCAUCAUGGGUCAAUAAGGGGUUGGACUGGGGAUCAAUUGACGAAGUGCAGACUCUACAGAGCCGCAUCCGGAGUCUCCUGGAGAAGAACACCGAACUCAUCAACGUGAUUCAAGUAAUGUUAGUUCGCCGGGUCCUCCCGUGCCAGCGACGACCCCUCCGCAUGUGGGAGUUCAAUCCAGAAGGACCACGAACCCUUUAG